AGGGUGUUAUUUCAUCUCUAUUAAGGCUUGGUUGGUGGCUGUUUUAAAAAAUGCAAACAAGCCCCAAUCCAUUGUGUAUUUAGAGGCUCAUGCUCAAGUAGUGGGAUAGCAGCUGUGCUUUGCUACCCUCACAAUCCGGCCUCUUGGAAAAGGGUAAAAUAUUUGCUAUGCAAGCGUGUGAUGCCUCCGGUGUACCUUCCUCCUUUUACAAAGCAUCCUUUGAUGGAAAGGAACCCCUCUUCUCACUCGCUCCUGAAUGAAGGCCAUUGAACUUUUUCCAGCUAUCUUGGCAUGUGGCAAGAGGAUGCCAGCAGUCAUAUUUGACAGGGAUGGAGGAUUUUUUUUUGUUUUAUUUAGUUUUAUUUAGCUUUGCUCCCUGCCCACAACAUCAAGGAGGAAAAAGAUUCAGACAGCUCAGUUCAUUUUGGGAAAGAUCUGGGGAAAGGGAGGCAGCUGGAGGAAGUGCAAGGACAUUGACGAAGCAGCAUGCACAAGGCAUAAUGGAAGAUGGAAAAAGUAAAGGCAGUGGGAAUGAGAGACCAAGAGUUAAGAGGAAGAAAAGAAAAUCCAAGAAAGAGAGGCUACUGAGGUGGAGCAAGGAACUAUAUUUUACAAGGCUGUGAAGAUGAAGCAAGAACUGAGAACCUGCAUCACCUUAGAAGAAUUAUUCAUUCUGCCUUGAGCUGCUGUGACCGAGAUACCAAUGUGUUAUGUCUAUACCAGGGCUCAGCCUUUUACAUCUGUUUUCAUUACCAUUUGAAGCAAUCCUACCAGGAAAAGCUCCUGAACAUGCAUAGAGUGCUUUCUGUGUGCCACUGAGCCAUGAAGGAGGGUGGAGCUGGUCUGUGGGUAGGUGCAUAUAUAUGUGGUAUGGGAUUAUGUAUCUUAUCCUUCUUGUUACUUAAAAAAGAGUGGGAAAGUUUAUUUUCACCAGAUGGUGGUCCUGCAAAUUGGAGGUGGCUCUUAUAUGGAAUUGCUGGAGAGAAAAAAAUAAUAGGUCCCUUUGCGUCUGUAAACACCAUGCUGUGACUUUGAAAUAUCCAUGCCAUCAGGCUCAUGGAAGAAGAAGAAGAAAAUGGGUGAGAAAUAAAUCCUAGGUACUUUUCAAGGUCAAAGUCUUCAUACUAUCAGGACCACCAUCUUCAUUGGCAUUUUUGAAAACAACAGUACAGUAGUAGAACUCACCUUGGGACCAGCAAUGCCAUCAGAGCCAGGGAAACCACGGCUUCCGGGAGCACCCUGUCAAUGAGAAGAAGAGAAGGUCACAUAAGUGGCUAAGUACCUGAAAGGUGAGCUGCAAAGAGGGACUUUCCAGUCAAAAUGUUAGAAGAGGAUUAUUGCUUCUGAUGUACACAAAGUGAUUCCCUAAUGGGUUGAGAAAUCCUUGUCUUGAAAGGACUAAAUGCUCAAGUACUGUAAGGUCAACUAUAUCUAACUCUGUGAAAUUAAGACUAGAAUUAGGACAAUGGUCAUCUCUCAUGAAUGACAGUUCAUUUGUUAUGGUUAAAAGCAGGAGUAUCUACCCUCUAUCCUGCUUCUUUCUACUCAGCACAAGGCGAGAAAAUGACUUAAAACACCUUUAGGCUACAACAGAUUCACCAGAAAUAAUAGAGAUUCAGUCAAAAUAUUACAAAGGGGAACCCCCCCCCCCCCCACAAAAGCAACCGAAACAAGUUCAUUACUGAAUAUGCCAUAGGAAGCUUUAACAUUACAGUUGACUGUUAUCCAAUAGGACUGAUGACUUGGUCAUACUAUAGACAAACCUUUAAGUGAAUAUCAUAAUAAAUAAUGGCAACUCCUUUGAAGCUCUUCAACUGCAACUCUCAUCAAUUCUCACCCAAUACCCAGUGGCAAGGGAUGCUGGGAGUGGCAAUUGACUAACAUCUAGUAGGCCACACAUUCUUCAUUGCUUCUCUACAGGGAAUUUGUCUUAACACAACUGUCAUGCCAUUUCAGCUCAAAUACAAAUGAAAAAAAUAUGGUGGUCAUGUCUAGAUCCUGUUCUGAAUUAUUUACAGAGGAAAGAAAAUGACUAUCGCCAUCUUUUAAAUAAACUUCCAAGGCCUACCCAUUUUUGUUGUGAGUUUAGAACCCUAAAACCACAAUAACUUUGAUGGAUCAUAGCAAAGGUCUGUCCAGUAUGGCAUUUUGGUCUGCCGAUGGCCAGUUAGAUGCCAUUAGAUACCCUACAAGGAGAACAUGUGUACACUAGCACCCUCCUGUCUGUGUUUUCCUAGCAACUAAUGCUGAGAAGCAUACUGCCAGACAAUAGAGGAAAUAUAGCCAUCAUGGCUACUAGUGGCACAUUACAUUCAUAUAAUUAAGUUUUGAUACUCAACAAAUGAUAUAGGGUGUUGGCACUCCUUUUAAGUGCUGCAGCAUUUUAUACUUUUGGAAUAGUUUUCUUCUUACAGAAUAGCUCUACUUCCUGAGGCUUGCUAUGUCUUACUUUCUGGUGGAUUUUGGAUUCAACAAGUUAUUGACUAAUCUGUUUUGGGAGCAAGGCGGGCACAUUGGAGACCAUUGUACAGCCAUGGAAGCCCACUGGUCACAAUCUCUCAGACUCAGAUGAAGCCAAUGACUAAUCCCCCUCUGAGCAAAUCCUGCUCAGAAAACUAUGUGAUAGGUUUGCCUUAGGGUGACCAUAAGUCAGAAUCGACUUGAAGGCACACAGCAGCAAGAACAAGGUGCCAUGGGUAUAAUGGAUAGACCUAUGAUCUGUAUGUGGAUGGGUCUUAUUCUUUUAUACCAUGAGCUUAGAAGAGCCCAAAAAAUGAAUCUGCUACAUACACGUUCACCAGCAGGUCCAGGCAAACCAGCAGGUCCAGGUUCACCACGAGAUCCUCUUUUGCCUUCCUCACCAGGUGGACCAGGUGGGCCUUGGAUACCAGCAGGGCCCUGGAAGAUAAAAGGAAAGAGGAUGAAAUCAGUAUUUGUGGCAAGAAAACAAAGACAGAAGUCAAGUUACAAUUGUAUUCCAGGUGAGAGGCAUACUUACAGGUUCGCCUUUAGCACCAGCAUCUCCUUUGUUUCCUUGAGCACCAGGUUCACCCUAAAGAUGGAAGAGAAGACCGAAAACAGCAUGGUCAUAUAUAUGUCAGUAGUCAGUGCAAGUAAUGUUGCAGUGAACUUGUUUCUUGCCUUCCAUAAGAACAAGGGGUUUUUUUUUGUCCUCUGAGCCCUCUUCUACACUGCCAUAUAAAAGCUAGAUCAUCUGCUUUGAAUUGAAGUAUAUGGCAGUGUAGAGUCAUAUAAUCCAGUUCCAAGGAGAUAAUAUGGACUAUCUGCCUUGAUCACCUGGAUUAUAUGGCAAUGUAGAAGAGGCCUAAGAUGACUCUCAGCAAAAGUACCCAUUAGUAGUACACUCAAGAGAGGAUCAGGUUGGAUAAGAUGCUAGGAGUCAGCUGAGAAUUGGUUUGAAACUUGCUCAGAAAGAAUUUGUUAGAAAGCAGAGUCUGGGGAAAGGGUUUUGAGAACAUCCCCCGCCCCCAAGAAGUGUCACGUCAAAACUGGCAUUGUAAUGAAUACAUUCUCUGUGGAGUUUGGAGUGGGACACCCUGUGAAAUAACUAUAGAAUAGUUACCCAUAAAUAUAGAUUUCUGCACUAUGAUGUUUUAUUUUGCUGCUUUACCCCCAUCUGCUGCAUAGAUUUAGCAACUUUGAAAUGUUGUAAUUUUCAGACUAUCAAAAGCCAGCAUGUGCUGACAGGGUGGCGUAAUAGGAUUCCAAAGUCAGCAAAAUAUCUGCAGGCUCUAUUCCCCUGAUCAGGUAGAGAUUUGGAACUAAGUGGUAGCAUUAUGGGAAUGUCGGCACUGGGACUAUUAAAAAUCACAGCUGGGGAGGAAGUGAGAAUGGGAAAUCCAAGAGGAGAUAAUGUCUAAGUUAGUGAUAUUGUUAUAGGAAUUUGUGGUAUCUCCUCAUGGGUAUAGAAGUUGGGAUUUGUCAGACAGCCCACCCAGGUAUCCAGCCUUUGAUUUUUUCAGACUUUUGAAAGUAACCACAAUAUGAGUGUUGAGUCAAAAGGUGAGUUAAAAUAACUUACGCUGUUACCCUUGGGACCAGGAGCGCCGCUGGGGCCUUGAGGUCCAGCUGGACCACGAGCACCAGGGAAGCCGGGAGCGCCAGAAAUACCGGGAGCACCCUAAAAGAGAGGGCAGAGAUGGUGAGGUAGGUGGUAAGAGAGGGUGCUGAAAAAGUAAAGGAAAGUACUGGGAUGUGGAGGCAACUUACAGUGGCACCUUUGGCACCAGGUUGACCAUCAGAACCAGGAUUGCCCUACAAUGGAGAAGGAAGGGAAAAAGGUCAUCACCAAUGACAUAAUUACAAAAGAGUCUGAAAGGUCUAAGAAUGACAAAUAAAAGCAAAAAAAAAACAAAAAACCAUAAACGGUGUAGCUUACAGAAGGACCAGCAGAGCCAGCAGGACCAGGUGGGCCAGGUUCACCACGAGCACCUUGUGGGCCUUCACUACCACGAGAACCUUGGGCACCAGUUUCACCCUGAGCAACAAAGGAAAGAAGAUGGAUUAUGAGCGCAUGUAUUUCUUCUCAAGUCUGUGGUGACAUGUUCCUUCUCAGCCAGACUGUGCUAUGUCACACCUAGUGCUCAAGCCUCAAAAUUUCAUCUUCCUAUCAGGAUUGCUGGUUCAGUACUACAAGGCCUAUGACUUGAUUUAUCAGGGCCUCAUUUCCUCCCCAAAAUCCAGGGAUCAAAGAUUUGAAGAUUGCUACCUAAGACAGAAAAGGUAUCCCUUUCAAGAAUAGUUGUUGUGGUCCACUGGAAACUCCUCUUAAGCAUUUUGAUUCAAGAAUGUUGUGGUUGUUGGUCUUUUUGGUUUCAUGUUAACCUGCCCUAACAACAUUUAAGUUGAAGGUAUAACAUGGGAUUUCUUUUCCCCUCCCCAUAUUUGUAAUUCUCAAAGGGGUACGUAUCAGACAGCAGAAUGGGAAGUAACAGUUAGUGUCCUUCAACAGAUAUCUAUCACAUAUUAAUGCACACUAAGAAAUGAGUAUGCAGAACCACGCCUUUCCUAAUAUAUAAGAAAUGGAUUCGUCUAGUCUGUAGAUUUCUUAAUAUUGGUUCCUUAAUGGAUCAUUAGACCUCAGCAUUUUAGCGAGGUAUUAGGCAGCAUACAGGGAGUUUAUGAGAGAAGGUAUUUUUUUAAAGAAGGAAGUAUCAUUGUGAGGAGCUUGGCAGUGCAAGAGUAGUCAGUCCAUAAUCCCUUUCUAGGAGCAAUAAAAUACUUAUCGCUGUUUUACUAAGAAAUCUAUGGCAAAAAUGGUACCACAGAAACCUUCAUCUGAAAAAGAAGGAAACUGACCAAUGCACCUGUUAAGGCAUUUUAAAGAACAGAUGAAGAUGAAGGUGUUUUGAUGCUACUUUCUGUUUCAACCAGGCUCACAAAAAAAAAGUCCUUUAAAAUGACAAGGGAUUGAAAUGUCCUUACCUUAGGGCCAGCGGCACCAGGGAAGCCAGGAGGACCAGCUGGACCAGUGGGGCCCUGAAAGAAGAAAAGGGAGAUAUUAAGUGGUGGUGGUUAUACAGUUUUCCUUAGAUUCCAAACACUGGCCAGCCCAGUCUCAACAAUGGGCCUUUGCUUUAAAAUUAACAGGAAAAAGGAAACUGGCACAAAACAACCUGUUCCAUCCCAUGGCCUGUUAUAGUGCAACAAUUGCCCUGCAGACCCUGGUUUUGGAUAGGUUGUGUGGCUCUGGUCAUAAUUUUGUAUGGCACUUUCUUUGCCUCGUUCAGCAAUAUUUUUUUUAAAAAAAGCAGAGAAGUAACAGAACUUUGCAGAAAUACUUACUGGAGGACCAGCAGCACCGGCAGCACCAUCAUUACCACGAGCACCCUGUAAGAAAGAAGAAGGGAAAAAAGUUUUGAGUUACAGUCCCUGUAUUAUCAAGCCAUAGAAGAAAUGGAAGCUGGUCCACCAAGCACCAACACAUAGCAAUCCAGCAAUGCAAAAGGAUAUACUUACAGCAGGGCCAGCAGGACCAGGGCGGCCUCUCUCACCAGGAAGACCACGGGGACCCUAGUCAGAAGAAAGAGAAAUAAGAUCAGAGGAGAGAGGAAAAAUAGCAUGGCUCUCAGUUUCUUUGUCAUGCAUUUAUCCUUAACCUGCUUGUUCUUGUUCUUUUUGCCACUUAUUAUUAUUAUUAUUAUUAUUAUUAUUAUUAUUAUUAUUAUUAUUAUUACCCCGCUUUUUCUCUGCACAAUGAGACUCACAUCGGCUACAUUUAUUAUUUCCAUUAGUCUGCUUGUUCUUAAACAUCCACAACAACUUUCUAUAAGUGCAAUACUACCUUCUUGUGGGUAGUGAAGGAUUCUUUUAGUCAUUAAGGAGCUACAGCAAUGGAGAAAGCAUUGUUUGAAAGUCUUGUAGCACUUAACAAAUUUUAUUUGGCAUAAAUAUUUAUAAGAGCUAAGGUGUCUCUCUCUUCAUACAUCUCAUGUGCUGCAGACUGAAAAUGAUGUUUAUAGUUCUCCAUUUAUCUUAGAAUGACUCCUUCUGGUUCUACCUGUAAACCUUACCAUCUGAAAUUCCACACAUAAAUCUCCAGUUCGACAUAGUAAUCUUUACUCAAAAUGUCUCCCUGAAAACCUCAUAUCAAGAUGUUCUAUUUCUGGUGUAGGAAGCUGCCAUCACUCAUUUAAGGUUAGAUUUAGACUAAAUAGCUGCUUACAUUUUAGGAUUAUUGUACAUUAGUAAAGGUAAAGGUUUUCCCCUGACAUUAAGUCUAGUCAUGUCCAACUCUGGGGGGUGGUGUUCAUUUCAUUUCUAAGCCGAAGAGCCGGCAUUGUUUGUAGACAUCUCCAAGGUCAUGUGGCCAGCAUGACUGCAUGGAGCGCCAUUACCUUCCUGCCAGUGCGGUACCUAUUGAUCUACUCACAUUUGCAUGUUGGCAGAAGCUGGGGCUAACAGUGGGAGCUCACCCCACUCUCCAGAUUCAAACCGCUGACCUUUUGGUUAGCAAGUUCAGCAGCUUAGUGGUUUAACCCGCUGUGCCACCGGGGACUCCCUGUACAUUAACUAUCACAUAAAACCUGUUCAUCUGAAGGUUCUUCACAGGCACUAACCAUGGAACAAAGUAUAAGAAGAAACCUAGGGCACUAGGCAACUUCAUACAAAUGGGUUUCACACAACUUCCAACAGUGCUAAGGCAUGUUGAAAUAAAAAUUUAGCAGAAUCCAUUCCAAGAGAACAAAGACUGAAAUAUGUGACUAUAGUAUAUAGAAACUAUGAGGCCACCUUAUGAUAAAUCAGACUAUUGGUUCAUCUUGGCCAAUAAUUUCUACUCUGGUUAUGUCAGCAGCUCUGUGGAGUCACUGGGCCCUUCUGCAAGCAAAUCCUGUGCUGUACCAUUGAGAUGUGGCACAGCCCAUCUUCCUUCCUUUGGAAAAGAGGAGCUUUCCUCCAUUUCUGUACACUUGUCUGCUGAAAUACAACCUAAGCUUCUAACAUGCACAUGAAUUAAAUCAAUGACAUGGAAAAUAGAAUGAAGGACAUGUAUACCCACCACUUGUCCAGGAGCACCAUUUUCACCAGGGCUACCAGGCUCACCCUAAGAGAGAAAGCAGAACAGAUGGUCAGAACAUAAUAGGAGAGAAAACAAUGUGUAUAAACGGAAGGAGGUCAGUCCUUAAAGUGAAUACCCACCUUGGGGCCAGCUGGACCAGCAUCACCUUUAGCACCAUCAAGACCACUGAAACCCUAAAGUGAGAAGAAUGGAUUAAUGGAGAAAAAAAGAUAAAUAUUAGAAUCAAAGAAGAAAAGGCAUUGUUUGUCAUAUUAUAAUAAUCCUCGGCUAAGAAGGCUAUGAGUCACAUGAUAGAUGGCUAAGCAAAAUUAUUUCCAUAUUAGCAACCUUACAGAAGCUAAAUUGGCCUGGAUCUGGUCUGUGCCAGAAAUGAGAUUUAUUUUGGGAUGAAAGAAAGACAGGAUAUAAAUGUACCCCCAAAUGCCUUCACCUUUGACUGAGUUAUCAUUUUUUAAAGAUUUAUUUAUUGGUCUUUGGCCAGGAUUUGGCUGCAAGGGAGGAAAGGGCUUCAUUCUGAAGUUGCCCUAACCAUGUGCUUCAAUGUGAUUCAUGUUUGUAUCAAAUGCCAGCACUGAGGCAAUUAACAUGUCUUGUUGGGAAUUGCAUGCAGUGUUUUUGUCCCGAUGGCAACAAUUCAUACAAGGUCCCAAAAAGAAUAUGGCUACCUACUUUGAGAAAUAAAUUAUCAUUGGAGUACAAGAAUGACAAUAUUCCCGAACUGAACUAGAGGUAGAAGAACUGGUAAGUACUUACUCGGUGUCCCUUCAUGCCUGGCAGGCCAGCAGUUCCGGGAAGACCACGGGCACCCUGAAGGAAAAGAACAAGAAAUGAUAUAGGAGAGAGCAAAGAGAAGAGGAAUCACACUUUGUUCUUCUAGUAUCUGGUGGCUACAUGUAGAUGGGAAAUUUUCAUGCCAUGGACUGGCAUACGAUUGGUGCAUGUGUAAUCUGUAUUUUAACAGGAACCAAAAGUCUUUGUAGGAUAAUGAUUGAAAAAACCCAGAAAGACUCAAGUGGGACAGAUUACUUGCAUUCUGGUUAGACCAUCUUAAUGGCCCACUUUUAUCCUCCAAACAUGGCUCCCUGAACAUUACUUUUGAAUGCAGCUCACAAUUAAAGAUUUCAAGAUGGAACUACCCACCAAGAGUUUACAAUUCCCAGUCUAUCUGCAUUCACCUAAUCUGAUGACACAGUUAAUAGAGUCAAUGGGGUUCAGAUGUGGUUUUAAAAUCCUACUUGAUUUAUUCAUCUUGUUGCCUUGAGGAAGCUGCCAUUUCUCAAGCUCAUCCACUGCCUUGCAAAAUUGCUAUGAGGAUGAGUUGAAAUAGUGAGUCUUCUAUGUUGUCCCUGCAUUAAGUAGUGGAGUGGUGCUGGGGAGAAUUAUGACUCUUAAGCGUCUUCAUACCAAUGCUCCCUACCAAUUCUGAAGUGGGCAGUCAUGACCUUUUCAAUGUCAUUCAUUCUCUCUCUCACCAGCCCCUUCCAGAAUGGCCAAGAAUACUGGAAUUUGUAGUUUAACAACAUCUGAAGGAUGUAUCUAGCUCAACCUGGUCUUUCAAAGGCUCUGCUAUAAGUGUUGGACACUUUGUAGCUCUCCCAAGGCAACACAAGGUUGUGUAUUUAUCCUCCCAUUACUAAAGUUUUCUGUAAUUUGGAUAGCUGUUCAGGUUGUGAUGCUUCAUAAUAGGACAGGUGCUUGACAGCUAUCCCAUCGUGUUCUUGCAACCAGGAAGAAAAGAGAGCUUACCUGUGGGCCAGGAGCCCCACGUUCACCAGGACGGCCAGGUUUACCAGCUUCACCCUUGGAGAAAGAAGAGAAGAAAAGAUCUAAACCAAUGCCAGAACCAAUAUGUUUUACAACUGUUAACUACGGGAAAAUUAUUGAAGGAGAUUCUGUCUUUGUUAAAGAUGACCUAGACUCUUCUGUAUCCUAUGAUGGACAGAUGCUUUAAGAUUUGCAUGGGCCAGUCAGAAAGGGUCUCAUAAAGUCAACAAGUAUGGCCAGCUCAGAAGUGAAAGAUGGUCAAUGUGGGACUGGGCUAUCACAGAGAGGAGCGGGUAAGCCUGUUCUCUGCUGCCCUAGAAGGUAAGACCAGGUCCAAUGGUCUGAAGUUACAAGAAAGUAGAUUUCAAUUGAAUACUAGAAGGAACCUUUUGACAGUGAGAGCACUUUGGCAGUGCAAGCAAUUGUCAAGAGAGGUGGUGACAGUCUCCUUCUCUAGACAUCUUCAAAAAGAAGUUGGAGAGCCAUCUGAUAGGGUUGCUUUCACUGGGCUCCUGUUUUAAGCAAGAACUAGCUCAUGAUGGCCCACGAGGUCUCUUGUGAGUCUAUGAUUCUAUGACUUUAAGAUAUAAUCGGACAUGUUGGUAAAGCUCCAUCUUUUUCUGAUUGGGUAGGCGGCAUGGGGUUAAGAGACUGCAGAUGGAGGUUGAUAUUAGAGACUGCACUAGAGCAAAGAGACUGCAAUGCAUCCAAAGGUGUUAAUAUCAUCAGUGCACAAUGUUGCAGUUUCUCAUGAAAGACACCCUUAGAAAGGGUCCUGAAGGUGGUGAGGACCCUCAAUCUACAUCUUUAGACCCUAUGUGAUUUUUCUAGAAGUAGUGCAAGACUGGGACAUCAUGGAACAAUUUCAACUUUCAUGCCAAUGCUUUGCUUGGCAUUUUGGACACACCAUGUCUUUGGAUCAUUACAAAGAAAAGAGUUUCAUUCCCUUCCAGAAGAGAGACAAAACCACUCACAUCAUCUCCGUUCUUUCCAGGGGGGCCGGCUGGACCACGGGGACCCAUUGGACCCUAGAUAAUUUGUUAAAGAAAAAAAGAUGAGUUUAAAUCAAGCAACAAGACAUUCUUCUCUCAUGCUCCUCCCAUUUAUAUAACUCAGAUGAUCUUUUAAAGAAGUGGGUCCAAAUAAGGAUCUAUGCGUGGCACUGUGUUCCCAAGCUCCCCCACGUGGUAGAAUAUGAGAACUGCAAUGAACGAGCAGGAGGAGAUUCCUGCACUGUUCUGCUUGGCAGUAAAAAUAAUAAUGCAAGCACAAAAAGAAAGGGAAAAAGAAAAAAAAGAGAAAGAUCAGAUGGUACUCACAGAAGCUCCAGCCUCUCCGGGUUCACCAGGGGGACCUUGGAAACCUUGGGGGCCCUGUAAGAAUAAAAACACACCUAUGUUAGAAGAAAAGAACUACAUUCUUGUAACUCAAUGUAUUUCGAGAAGUUUAGGGAAGAACAGUAGCAUUUCCCACAACAUUGAGACCCCCAUUCCCACUGUCUCCACUUCUGUCUCCAUAUUGUCUUCUUUUGCUCUCUUGGCUUUUUUACUGAGACCCCACUGGUUUACUGACACCUUACUCCCUGUUCCCCAUAUUGUUAUCCCAGUAAAGGUGAUUAGUUCCCUAAUAACAAUUAACUCAAGUCAGGUCUCAUGGGAACUAUACAAAGAAAUAAAAGAUGGAUGUCUCUGAACAUAAGCAGAGAAUAUCAUAGACCAACUAGGCAGUGGUUCUCAACCUGUGGGUCCCCAGAUGUUUUGGCCUUCAACUCCCAGAAAUCCUAACAGCUGGUAAACUGGCUGGGAUUUCUGGGAGUUGUAGGCCAAAACAACUGGAGACCCACAGGUUGAGAACCACUGAACUACUGCUAUGUGUUGCACCAGGAGAGAGGGUUGCUGCAAGAAUCUAUGGAAUCUGUGACUUUUUGUUUGAAACGAGAUUCCUGGGAAGGAGAUGGUGCCUGUGGCCAAAUUUAGGGCAUGCAUUUUGGUCCCCAUGGUUUAAGAAACCAUAUAAACAGAUGACCAUCUUCUGUAUUAUAGUAAUUUUGGUCCCUGUGAUUAAAGAUGCAACACAGAUAUGUGACUAUUUUACAUAAAAGAGGAAAGUAGACUUGGCAAAGUCUUCUGUCCCAGCUCUUGGCAUGUUAAUGGAAGAGGUAACUCAAGCGGGGACUAACUAUACAUGCAAUAUGUAAAAACAAAUCUCUUUCUAAAGCAGUCUCAUAUUCUGUGCUAACAUUAAUUGUAUUCUUCACCUUUGUAACCACUACAAAUUAAGUACAACUUUAAAUAUUCUCCAUAAUUUAUAUCUUUCUGAUAUUCUCAACAACAGAGAACUGAACAGGAUACAGAAUCCUUACUCAGCCACUGAGAAAAUUAUACUCCUCAAUUCAUUGCCCAAGAAACAAACAAACUUGGAUUAUCAUUGUGCUGAGCAUUUGCUUUAAGUAAUGGAAGCCUACUAAUGGAAGCCUACUUUCACAUAAAAUAGUUAUAUGCCCAUCUAAAGGAGGUUUUUUUAAAAGAAUCUGUUUCCAAGAAAGGAGAGAAAAGUACUUACAGGGGCACCAGGGGGGCCAGGAAGACCACGGGGACCAGCUGGACCCUAAAAAAAGAGAAGAAAUGCGGUUUUAAAAAUUAAGGUGAAAAGAAGAUGAAACUGCUAUCAUCUUGUCUUGACUUCAAUAAAUAUUCAUGUACCUAAGGCAUGCCUUGAAAAUCAUACUUUCUUGAUAUCACUUUAGUGUUCCAAGUUCCUUUAUAACUAUAAAUUUAAGAUCUUUCUUUCUUAUGAGCUAGGUUUCAGUAUCCCUCUAUCUAUGCCAUUUACUGAAUUGCCUCUCUUCCGUAUUAUCUAAAUAACCCAUCCUUCUCGGCUCAGUUUCUACAGCUAUUUCCAGUGAAUAAAUUGUUUAUUUAAAGUGGAUCGGUAACACAAAAUGGGAGGUUCCUACUCGAGCAAACCAUCUGAAUAAUGUUAAGAGAAGCAGGGGGGAAAAUUCAGCAAAAGUAAUAAUGUAUGUGAACUGACUUUGCGCAUCCUUACACUGAUGCUCAUCAAUGCAAAUUCAAAUGAAGCAUCAGUGUGAGUGCUUCAAAUGUUUUUAAAAUUGGAACUAUCAUGUUCCAGUUAUAGACUUAAGACACUAUCCCCCAGCCUCAGUUCUAGCUUCUGAAAUGAAGAUGAUAUCAUAGACCUAUUUUAUAGGAAUGCUGUGAAAUUAUUUUUUUCAGUAUUUGGGGAAAAACAUAACAGAUUGGAUCUAGGUUUAAGCAGACCCACUGAAAUAGUUAGAAUUUAAAUAACUCAUGAAUAACAUACAUCCCAUUGAUUUCAAUACUUUUAUUCUGACUAAAUCUGGAACCAACCCAUUGGGAUUUGAUGGACUAUAUGUCCCAUUAUUCCUGAUCUGUGGCCCUGCUGUUUGCAGUGGGGACUGGAAUCCUUCAGUAUCAGGAAGACAAUCCCCACUUGAUAUAAACACACAAUCGCAAAUAUUAUAGACAUCACGGUUGUCAAUUCAAUAAACUCACAUUCCUUUUCUACAACUAAAUGAAGAUUUUACGUCCUUAUUCUGCCUUUUCUGUAACAAUCUGUCCUCAGGGGAAAAUGAGGAUUUCUUUGACUCUUCAUUAUAGGAAAAUAGCCUUUUCUGUUGGUGAGCAUAUGAAACUAGCAUCUGUAGACAAAAUAUAUCCCUAUCUAUAUACCUACAUUUUUAUGAUGACUCAAUUCUGUCCUGUGGAUUAAGGAACUGAGCAGAUACAGACAUACUCUUUGGUUGACAUCUUCCGGAGUGCACCCGUUUCCCUUCUCAGACUGACUUCCUACAUUACUACUCCUUUUUUCCAAAAUCUUCACCCUUUAGUCAACAUUUUCCCUGAACAUUUUCCCAGAAAGCAUCAACACUUACCAUGGGGCCAGGAAGAGAGAGGCCACCGGAUUUUUCAUCAUAACCGUAAGACAGUUGAGGAGCAAAGUUCUGACAAAGAGGAGAAGACAAAAAAGAGAGAACAUUAUUAGAAUUCUUACAAAACAAUCUUUUACAUAUAAAUCUGGAAUAAUCAAGUUAAGUGGAGAAAGCCAACUUACUCCGCCGAGACCAGGGGGGCCUGGAGGGCCUGGGGGUCCAGGUUGUCCGGGAAUGCCGUCUCUGCCGGGUGGGCCUGGAAGUCCCUGGAGACACAGACAAUGAGAAGACACCAUUGGACAUGAUGACAUCAUACCUUCUUUAUAGAACUUAUUGAAAAAAACCCUUUCCAAGGAUAAAUGUGAACAAUGGCUUGACUAGACCUCUCCCUCUGUCCCAUAGUAGAGAACAAGACUGAAACUUGGCCAUGAAAUUUCUGGAGGAUCAAGUCAUUGUGGAAUGAUGAUGAAUUAAACCAAAGUGGUCACAAUCCUUAUUAUUUAUGUAUUUAUUUUUGGAAACAACAGUUGGGCAUACAGAAUUAUUGUGGAGCACUAGAAUGGGGCUUGUUUUGGGAAUGUUGCAUUUUUUUGUCCCAAAAAUUCUUUCCAUCGAUGUAGUAAAAGGAAGUCAAUGCUAACUGUAACGUGCUUUCUACAAGAUAGAGAUGGAAAAGAGUGAAAAGGACAGUCUAAGCAGACAAGAUUUCUUCUCACCCAGAGAUGGAAAUUUGAAAAUUUCAAAUUGUGUCUCAAAUUUUAUGAUUGUUUCAUUCAACGUUUUGACAUCUUAUCUCCUACCUUGUUGUUGUUUUUUAAAACUAUAAUUGGAGAUAUCAUCAACUAAAGCAUAAUUACAAAUACCUACCCUGUCUCCUCUUGGGCCUGGCUCUCCUUUAGGACCCUAUCAAAUAAGAAGAAAAUUGUGAUUAGUACAGCAAAAUCAACACAUUCAAUGGAAAUAGAAUGUAAGAUUGCAAAAAACAAAACAAAACAAAACAAAACCCACUAAAAACAAAAAACAAAAAGCACCAAGAAGAUAAUUUACCUCUACUCCAGUUUCUGGGUAGGGAACAGAGGCGCCUUAAAUAAAAAAGGAGAAGGACUAUGAUGAACAUUAAAACAUCUCUUUUUCAGAAUAAAUCACUGCAUCCACAACCAUUACAAAGACAAUCGAACUACUAAUAAAUUCCACUGGGACAGGCUCAAUUCAUUUAAUAUGUUUGCUCCAAAUUUAGUAAUGUAUAGAAUCAACCCACUGAUAUAAAUCGAACACAUUAAUCAUGACUACAACAGUAGACCCAUUAAUUUAUUGGGUUUACUGGCUAGGAACUCAAUCCAGAUCAGUCCAGGCUUGUUUUCUGACUUCAGGAGCCAAGUUCAUUUUGGUAAAAUUAACAGCUCUUCUUAUUGGAACUAUCAUUUGGUAAUUUGAAGAAUAGGAUUUUAAAAAUCCACAUUCCAUAUACAGAAUUCUGACAGAUUACUUCUCAUAAUCUAACAUUAUAAGGUCUACUAAAAUUAAGAUGAUGAUGGCACAGUCUAAACUCAUUUGCACACUUUCUGAAUAUCCUUCCUGAUUUUUACUUUUUUGGGCCACCUUUCUGCAUGCAUGCAAUGAACAUACACAAAUGCAUUUAUACACAAAUGCUUGUAUUAAAUAUAUAUUAGUAAAUAUACAAAAACAAAGAUCAAACCUGUGAUCUUACAUUGAACUGCUGAAUGAGAUGGGGAAAGUAGAGGAAAUAAGUUACUUGAUGGACGUUGGGAUACAUUAGUGCAGUGGUUCUCAGCAUUUGGAUCCCCAGGUGUUUUGGCCUACAAUUCCCAGAAAUCCCAGCCAGUUUGCCAGCUUUUAGGAUUUCUGGGAGUUGAAGGUAAAUUAGUGAAAUUGACCAGUCUAAGUAAGACUAGACUUGAGUAUGAAUAAAUAUGCUUGUGGAGAGAUAGCGUUUUCAGUAGCUUGGUAGGACUACAUUGAGUGACAUGAUAAAUGGUUGGGUGAUGGAGAGAUGGAAGAAACAGUGGACAAUUAUGAUAGGCUGAGUGGAUGAGCAGGAUGGAAGAGUGUAGGGUAGGCCGGUACCUGAUUCAGGACAGACUGGACAGCAUUCUCCAAAGGGGAUCUCGGGAUUUUCGCAAUUCAGAUCUUCUUCACAGACCAUGCUGUCGCAAAGGAUGUUGCCGCUGUCGCAAACGCAGAUCUGGCAGGGUUCUGGUUUCCAAACAUCUUUGUCAUUGUACCUUAGUCCGUCCUGUGUGCAGCUUCCUUUAGAUGGAACUAAAGAAAGAAACAACAAAAGAAGCAAGAUGUAUGAGUGAACGGUUGAAGGUUGACUGAAAGCCAAGAAACAUCAAUAGAAUAGAUAAAGCAACUGAGAGGCCAAUGGAAUAAUAUAUUUUAUGAUAGAGUGACCUGGAGACCUAAUGUAUUUUCAUCAAGUUAUUUCUGAUAGUGGGCCUCCCUUUUCCUCCACUCUCUGCAUACAUUGACUUUUGCAUGCAUGUGUGUUUUAAAACCUCAUCUGUUUUUCAUCAAGUAAACUCUAGGACACAGGAAACGAGCCAGCCUCUCAAUAACUCCUUCCAGUUGCUUUGGAAUUUAAACAAAACCUCCGGCCAGUUGUUAUAUCCAACUGGUAACCUCAGCGUUCUGGAGCCGAAGCCAAACCAAACACACAUGCAAAAAGAGAAGGAAAUUAACAACCUUCUGAAUAGGAAAAGAGAUAGAGGGAGAAAGUCUGGAAUUCAAAUUGAAGGAGGACCCAUGCAGGGGGGAGAAAUGGUAUCCCGUUGAUAUCAUAUGGCCUCAGGAAAUCUGAUCUGCUGCAAACAAUUUUGGAGGGAGGAACAAUCGGCAGGUGGGAAACCAUUUUCAGGGAAGCUUCUGGGGCAAGUUGUAUGGCCUCCUCACUACCUACACCUUAUGCCAGCUUGUUUGGAAAUCACUGUUUGAUGGACUGUUCAUGACUAUCCAAGCCAAGUAUGACAACAAGAAGAGAGAUGCAGAAGAGAGGCGGCACUAAGAAGUAAGACAAUCUUUCUAUCACAUCUUUUUUUUUAAUUGGAAAUAUGAGUUUUGCAAUUAUUUUCCCCAGGAUGAUAUAUCUAAAAUAGAUCACUUGGCUCUUGAUAUAAGCCAUUGUCCUAAAUCAUUGAAAGCUAUUUUACUUUAUGAGUGCAAGAAGGGAAGCAAGAAAAUUUAUGAUUCUGGAGGAAUUAUAAUUAAAAAGAAGGACCUCAACUACUUUGCAACAUUACUUUGUGGAAGGAGAACCAGAAACAAAAGGUAGCCACCGUUAGCAAGGUGAAGGUGAGAAACGUUUAAAGGAAUUAUGUGAAAUUCUCUACCAAGAUCUUCCUGGAAUGUUUCAGAGUAACCACAUCAACCACUAGAUGGCAGCAAAAGUUCCACAUCUGGAUACAAGAUAUAAUCGUUUCACAUAUUCCCUGCUGGUAUUUUGAUUGUUCGACCCCCAUUGGGGGUGAGAAGAGCUUGUUAGCUACCCACACCUAGUUGUUGACACUGAAAUAAGCUCAUCUUUGUCCAGCGUGUGUCCUGUUCAAGGCCAUUCCGCAAAACCCCACCCAAGGUACGGCUAUGGCAAUGAGAGCGCUCAAGGCAAAGCUAAACCUCCCAGUAACCACUAGAUGUCGCUACUGGAUUUUAUCAACUGGAUAUAUCCAUGGAGGAUAUGUUCCCAAGCUUCGUAUGGAUAUGUGAACCCACAGCUAAGAGUGAAUCCUAUUCAAAUGAAGGACUUCUGACCCAAGAAUAUCAUAGAAUUAUGCAGGAGGACCUAGAAAAUGCCUAAAGAGAACAUAUUUAAUUGGUCGCGGAUAAUGAAACCAUAGGUAUCAGUCCCACAGAUAUGAGGGUCCUACAGUAUUUAAAACGACCCAGUGUUUUAUGUCUUUAACAAGCAGAUGUAGAGCUCAAGAUGGCUUUGAAGAAGAUCCUUCAGUAAGAAGACCAAGGUGGGGAAAUAACGCAUUUGGAUCCUCCUGCAAAGCAACAAAAUCCCUGCACGUAGAAGACCAGCAAGCCAGGAAAACAGCCAAAUGUGGCAGUGGUAUGCAGAGCUGACCAGCUGUUUUGGGAGUUGCGCUGUUCUCCAGGUGUGAAGAUUCAAGAACUAACAGAGACGCUGCCAAGACUAAUCAUGCAACUGGCCAUAGCCCUUUCCCUCAAAUCCAUGUGGGAACAAAUUCUCCUGCCAGACAUGUCCAUCAAUGUGUAAGAGACUCUUAAGCUCAAGAUAGAAAGGUGAAACCUUUGUUCAUGGGUGGUUAUUUUAUUCUUCCUUUCUCUUGAAGGUCAUAGCCCAGGAAGAGAGUGAAUAGACAAUAGUCAAAAACUGACUAUGUGGGAAAGAUGUGGGUUCCUGGAGUAUACUUUGUGAUUCACCAAGGACUUCUGGCAAGGGAAGACACACACCUCACACUGAUUGGGAAAAUCGUAUUUACUAGAGGUCUUACAAAUCAGAGUAAACUGAACCUGUCAUGGCAGAAGACAAUAUUUUAGAGGACCGGGAAACACCUAGAUCAAGAUCCUACAUUGAGCAGUCAGGGCACACAUUUCCAACUAUGUCAUGUUUUUGUACUUCCCUCCCACACAUAUGUCCCUUUUUAAUGAGGUGCAAUACAACAAAGUUUAUAUUAAAUUUAACACAUGUGUUGUCUCAAAAGACCAUGCACUAGGCUUGUGCAUAGAUUCAGAAUGGUCAGUCCCCUUCGGCCAAUUCGGCUUAUUUGACUUGGUCAGAUGGCCGUAAUGUCAUGUUUUUUCAUCCGUUAUGGGACCACAUGGCAGCCGAUCACAACUCCUCCUUCCCUAUUCAGUAGCACAUGGCAUGCUUCCUUAACCCCGUUGCUGAAACCCAGGUUCACUUGAAGGGAAAAAAGGAAAAGGUUCCAAACAGAAAGGGAGGGUCUUGUAAGUUCCCCAUUGCCACCAAUGGGCCAGAUCUAGCCAUAUUUUUGGCAGCAGACCAAAAACCGCUAUCUGGCUACCUGUCUGUUUUCAGAAGGCACGCGAAAGCAGAUAUGGGGUGGAGGGGGGGGGUGUCUACCAGAAUCUGGCCUGCAGAAACAUUUCUCCCACAAUGCUGGAGUGUCUGUUUACAGUUUUAUACUACAUUAUGAAGAGCGAGAAUUUGGAUAGCACAAAUGAGUAGUGUGUGUACAGAUUGUGUAGUACUUUCUCAAAAUCCUUUGGACCAGAAGUGUUUUGAGUUUGUUGUUUUAUUCUUUUUUUUGGGGGGGGGGGAUUUUAGAAUAUCUGUAUUUGCACAUAUACACAUUAUCAGGCACAGUAGAGUCUCACUUAUCCAAGCUAAAUGGGCAGGCAGAAGCUUGGAUAAGCGAAUAUCUUGGAUAAUAAGGAGGGAUUAAGGAAAAGCCUAUAAAACAUCAAAUUAGGUUAUGAUUUUACAAAUUAAUCACCAAAACAUCAUGUUAUACAACAAAUUUGACAGAAAAAGUAGUUCAAUACGAAGUAAUGUUAUGCUGUAAUUAUUAUAUUUAUGAAUUUAGCACAAAAAUAUCAUGAUAUAUUGAAAACAUUGACUACAAAAAUGGCUUGGAUAAUCCAGAGGCUUGGAUAAGUGAGGCUUGGAUAAGUGAGACUCUACUGUAUAUUGGAAAUGGUGUCCAAGUCUAAAUACAAAAUAUAUUUAUGUUUCUUUGUACCUUAAACAUAUAACCUGAAAAUAAUUUAUACAAUAUUCUCAUAAUGUUGUGCAUGAAACAAUGUACAUUGAACUGCCAGAAAUCAAAGGUAUCACUUAUGUCAACCACUCAUGUGGACAAUUAUAAAUUCUGGAGCAUUUCAGAAUUCCGGCUGAGAGAUGAUCAACCUGUAUGUCUAUUAAAGAUCGUAAUAAAAAUCUCAAAUGUAUUUGACA